rnacentral:rRNA from 1 species
GACGAACGCUGGCGGCGUGCCUAAUACAUGCAAGUAGAACGCUGAAGAGAGGAGCUUGCUCUUCUUGGAUGAGUUGCGAACGGGUGAGUAACGCGUAGGUAACCUGCCUGGUAGCGGGGGAUAACUAUUGGAAACGAUAGCUAAUACCGCAUAAAAUUGAUUAUUGCAUGAUAAUUAAUUGAAAGAUGCAAUUGCAUCACUACCAGAUGGACCUGCGUUGUAUUAGCUAGUUGGUGAGGUAACGGCUCACCAAGGCGACGAUACAUAGCCGACCUGAGAGGGUGAUCGGCCACACUGGGACUGAGACACGGCCCAGACUCCUACGGGAGGCAGCAGUAGGGAAUCUUCGGCAAUGGGGGGGACCCUGACCGAGCAACGCCGCGUGAGUGAAAGAGGUUUUCGGAUCGUAAAGCUCUGUUGUAAGAGAAGAACGGGUGUGAGAGUGGAAAGUUCACACUGUGACGGUAUCUUACCAGAAAGGGACGGCUAACUACGUGCCAGCAGCCGCGGUAAUACGUAGGUCCCGAGCGUUGUCCGGAUUUAUUGGGCGUAAAGCGAGCGCAGGCGGUUAGAUAAGUCUGAAGUUAAAGGCUGUGGCUUAACCAUAGUAUGCUUUGGAAACUGUUUAACUUGAGUGCAGAAGGGGAGAGUGGAAUUCCAUGUGUAGCGGUGAAAUGCGUAGAUAUAUGGAGGAACACCGGUGGCGAAAGCGGCUCUCUGGUCUGUAACUGACGCUGAGGCUCGAAAGCGUGGGGAGCAAACAGGAUUAGAUACCCUGGUAGUCCACGCCGUAAACGAUGAGUGCUAGGUGUUAGGCCCUUUCCGGGGCUUAGUGCCGCAGCUAACGCAUUAAGCACUCCGCCUGGGGAGUACGACCGCAAGGUUGAAACUCAAAGGAAUUGACGGGGGCCCGCACAAGCGGUGGAGCAUGUGGUUUAGUUCGAAGCAACGCGAAGAACCUUACCAGGUCUUGACAUCCCUCUGACCGCUCUAGAGAUAGAGUUUUCCUUCGGGACAGAGGUGACAGGUGGUGCAUGGUUGUCGUCAGCUCGUGUCGUGAGAUGUUGGGUUAAGUCCCGCAACGAGCGCAACCCCUAUUGUUAGUUGCCAUCAUUCAGUUGGGCACUCUAGCGAGACUGCCGGUAAUAAACCGGAGGAAGGUGGGGAUGACGUCAAAUCAUCAUGCCCCUUAUGACCUGGGCUACACACGUGCUACAAUGGCUGGUACAACGAGUCGCAAGCCGGUGACGGCAAGCUAAUCUCUGAAAGCCAGUCUCAGUUCGGAUUGUAGGCUGCAACUCGCCUACAUGAAGUCGGAAUCGCUAGUAAUCGCGGAUCAGCACGCCGCGGUGAAUACGUUCCCGGGCCU